UACGGAGGGUGCGAGCGUUUGUCCGGAAUCAUUGGGCGUAAAGGGCGCGUAGGUGGCCCGGUCAGUCAGUGGUGAAAGCGCGGGGCUCAACUCCGCGUCGGCCAUUGAUACUGCGGGGCUGGAGCACUGUAGAGGCAGGCGGAAUUCCGGGUGUAGCGGUGGAAUGCGUAGAGAUCCGGAAGAACACCGGUGGCGAAGGCGGCCCGCUGGGCAGGAAGGAAGCGUAAGCUUCCGGCUGACGCUGAGGCGCGACAGCGUGGGGAGCAAACAGG
rnacentral:rRNA from 1 species